CUCCCUGUAGCUCAGUUGGUAGAGCAUGGUGUUUGCAACGCCAGGGUUGUGGGUUCAAUUCCCACGGGGGGC
rfam:Salmo salar isolate Sally breed double haploid chromosome ssa10, whole genome shotgun sequence.